AAAAACAUAGCCCUAAGUAAUUAUUUAGGGUGAAGCCUGCUCAAUGAUAAAUUUAAAUAGCCGCGGUACCUUGACCGUGCUAAGGUAGCAUAAUCAGUUGACUUUUAAAUGAAGUCUGGAAUGAAUGGAAUAACGGGACUAAGCUGUCUCUAUAUUUUUCUUUUAAAUUUACUAACUAGGUGAAAAGGCCUAGAUAUGAUAAAAGACGAUAAGACCCUUAGAGUUUUUUAACAUAUUUUGUUGGGGCGACAAGGAACCAGUAAACGUUCCUAUUAUUAUGUGACGGAUUUUUCAUGAUUAGAUAAACUACCUGAGGGAUAACAGCAUUAUCUUUUAAGGUUUGUGACCUCGAUGUUGGACUAGGAAGCCUAUAGGUUAGCUGCUUAUAAGGGAGGUUCUGUUCGAACUAAUACUCCUACGUGA
rnacentral:rRNA from 1 species